CUCCCCCUCCCCCUCGUCCUCCUCAUCUUCCUCCUCUUCAGCCGCUGCUGCAGCAGCACAGCCCGGUGUCUCCAGGAUGGAUCCAUGAAGAAAGCCACUUCCUCCCCGCACGCACGACACCUCCCCCGCCACGAUGGGCCGCGACCAAAUAAAAACCUUGUUAUGCUGAUAUAUCUGGAUAUCUCAGCAAUCAAAUAUGAAUCAUGCAUUUGAUAUUUCUGGCCACUUUGCUCGUCAGCGUCCAUUCGCCGGGGCUUCAUCCAUCACUGGCUUCGUCGGUUUCACCCGGAGUCGAGGACGAGGCUGAGAGGGACGCAGAGGAAGCAUUGCUAAAGCAACAGGCAACUGCAGCACCUGGCACAGAUAGCACAACACACCAUGCAGAGGAGCAUGAGAUCACUUACCCCUCACGGUUGAUCUACUAUCUGAACGAGGAUACGGAGAGCACCUACCAUGACCUUAACACAUGGGCCAAGAACCAAGCCACAGCGGACCAGCCCGUCCACCUCGCCCAAGUCAGUUUCCAAUUAGAGGCAUUUGGCUCCAGGUUUGUUCUGGAUCUAAAACUAAACAAUGACCUGCUGUCUUCUGAUUAUGUGGAGAUCCACUAUGAAGAUGGGAAACCAGUUCUCUCAAAGGGAGGUGAGCACUGUUACUACCACGGCCAGGUGAGGGGGAGCGAUAACUCCCAAGUGGCCUUAUCUACCUGCAACGGGUUGCACGGGAUGUUUGACGACGGAGUCCACGUGUAUCUAAUCGAGCCUUUGCACCAGACUCAUUUAAUCGACACAGCUGCAAGGCCUCACAAGCUGAGACGAACAGCCUCGGGUCCGCUGAGCGGUGAUUCAGAGGAGCAGGUGAAGGAGGAGCAACUCCUCUCAGAGCUGGAUGAGUUGUCCUGGCUGAAGCGCAGAAAAAAGCGAGCAAUGCCUCGCAGCGUGUUUGAGGAGAUGAAGUAUUUAGAAGUCAUGAUUGUCAGUGACCACAGUAUGUAUAAGCGACACAAGAACAAACAGCACACUAGAAAUUUUGCCAAGUCGGUUGUGAAUCUUGUGGAUAGUAUCUUCAAAGACCAGCUGCAUACGCGCGUGGUUCUUGUUGCUUUGGAGAUCUGGACGGAUAAAGAUCAGAUCCCCAUCAGCGUGAAGCCUCUGGAAAUGCUACGGGAUUUCUCCAAGUACCGACAGCAGAGCAUCAAGCUGCACGCCGACUCGGUGCAGCUCCUCUCAAACGAGGCCUUCCACUACCGCAGAAGCAGCACUGCAUACUUUGGAGGCCUGUGCUCUGUGAGCCGAGGGGUUGGGGUCAACGAGUAUGGCUCCACCCCGUCCAUGGUAGUGUUCUUAUCCCAGAGCCUGGCGCAGAACAUGGGCAUCCAGUGGGACCCUGAAUCCAAGCGCAAAGAAUGUGGCUGUGCUAACUUGUUGACCGGGUGCAUCAUGGAGGACACCGGAGUCCAGCACCCACAGAAAUUCUCCAAAUGCAGCAUCACAGACUUCAAGGAGUUCCUUUUAAAAGGAGGAGGCUCGUGUCUGUUCAACAGGCCGACUAAGCUGUUUGAGGUUGCACAUUGUGGGAAUGGGUUUGUGGAAGCUGGGGAAGAGUGCGACUGCGGGCUGAGAGCAGACUGCUACAAGGAAUGCUGCAAGAAGUGCUCCCUCGCCAACGGGGCGCACUGCAGCGACGGGCCUUGCUGCAAUCACACGUGUCUGUUCUACCCGCGAGGCUACAGCUGUCGCUUUGCUGUGAAUGACUGUGACAUCUCAGAGACCUGCUCUGGAGACUCUGGACAGUGUCCUCCCAACCUGCAUAAGCAGGACGGUUACGUCUGCCAGGUAAACCAGGGUCGCUGUUACAGCGGAGAGUGCAAGACCAGAGACAACCAGUGUAAAUACAUCUGGGGAUCAAAGGCUGGAGGUUCAGAGAAGUACUGCUAUGAGAAGCUAAACACUGAAGGAACAGAAAAGGGGAACUGUGGAGGAGAUGUAAACCAAAGGAUCCCGUGUAGCAAACAUGAUGUGUUCUGUGGGUAUCUUCUGUGCGCCAAUGUGGGACGAAUGCCACGCAUCGGAACAGUGAAAGGAGAAACUACCCCCGCCUCCUUUAAUCACCAAGGCAAAGUGAUACAGUGCACUGGUGCCCACGUCCUUUUGGAUGAUGACACAGAUUUAGGCUACGUGGAGGAUGGGACUCCCUGUGGGCCGUCCAUGAUGUGCCUUGACCACAAGUGUCUGCCCAUCCAGUCACUCAACAUGAGCUCUUGCCCCAUCGGACCUAACGGGCAGGUGUGCUCUGCCCAUGGCGUGUGCAACAAUGAAGCCACAUGCACCUGUGACACCACCUGGGCAGGGACCGACUGCAGCAUGUCUGACCCACCCAAAAAGCCUGAUGUCACUCCAGACGAAGAACCCAAGGUGAGCGUGGCCACUAACAGGCUGAUAGGGGCAGUAGCAGGGACCAUUCUGGCCCUGGGGGUGAUUUUUGGAGGCACAGGGUGGGGAAUAGAGUCCUAGUGCCACCAAUCUAAUAAUAGGCUCCAUCGCCGGAGCCAUCCUUGUGGCUGCCAUAGUGCUGGGGGGGACUGGAUGGGGCUUUAAAAAUGUGAAGAAACGACGUUACGACCCCAACGCCCAGGCCAUUUAACCCGCGGAGAGAUGACAGCCUCCGAGGCUUCCUCAGUUGGCUACCUGACAGCUGGACUGCACUUACUGCUGCUGAUUUUUGGCAUUAGUUCUACUUGAAAAAGACAUAGUGGACAUCGUAACAGAUUCCAUUGUAGUGACAUUAUAAAUGCAGCCUUUUGAACUCCACGUGUAACCUUUCCCCCCAACUCCUCCACCCUAACCUCUAUAGAGCAACGGAGCUCCUCUACCCUCCCCUAGUGCCAGUGCACAGGCGUUCAGGCGGAAUCCACACCAUCCUCUCACCUGGCAUGACUAUCCACACAAAGUGUGCUGCUUGCAGGACCAUUAGCAUGAAGAGCCCUCCCUGCAGGACUCGGCAUGGCUACCAAAGCUAUAAUUUUACUGCAAGAAAAUAUAAAAAAAAACAACUAAAAAGACAUAAAAAGAAGAAAUUAUUCAUUGCAGGAGAAAGCCUCGUUAAAAACCAAACCCACUGGAAAGCCAGUUAAAACUACAGUUCACAUUCAGGUGCUGCAUGCAAGGACAGUGCAGACCAUGUGGUGCAGGCGGGCACAAAACUGUACAUAAAUAGGGAGUUUAGGGGUCAGCUGCUUUUGUUUUUUAUUCCAGCAUGUUUUACAGCAGGCGUUUCUGAAAAAACAAAGCUACUGCUUUUACAAUUUGGGUCAAAAUUAUUCGAUUUUAUGAUAGAGCAGCUGUGGUGAGGAUGAACCAGGUCUGGAUGGAUCCAGACCCUGACAAGAUCUCCCCUUGAAAUAUCUCCAGCGGUGACUCCAAAGCCAAAGAACCAAUCACCUGAACGUAUGGAUGUUGUUGCACACAGAGCACUUUCCUCUCCCUCUGUCUGCAGCCAGUGGUGCCUCUCCUUCUGCUGAGGGCAUGAAGUCUGUCCACACGGGCGCUCACCUGUCCAGUCAGGUCUCCAAACAGUCCUCAUCUAUUACUGGCUUAGCCUUUUUGCUCUCACCAACUCUUAAUAGGAAACAGUUUCAGCUUUUUUGGUAACACUGCAUGAAGUCACUUAUAGUGGGGCUUGUAAUUCUAUAUGGGAGGCCCCUAAACCUGCAAGAAAAAUAUGCUACAAAAGAUAGGUGCAUGUAAAAAAAAAAACCAGGACGUUUAACUUUUAUUUACUAUGCAAAAAGAGAUAUUGCACAAAAGAGUGGGUAAUAGCGACAACAAUGUAGACAUGAAACCACAAACUCAUCCGCUGAUCAGCUGAUCUUUUCUAUUUCGCCACUUCUUUCAUUUCUCUCCAAACUAUAAACGAACACAAUUCAUACGUUUAAUAAUAACGAUAAUAAACUGAAUCGAUAUUUCCAGUUUAAAGCGAGAGAGCACCCUUUCACAUUUGUGGAACUGAAAGUGAUAUUUGUGUGUUUUUCAUCCAGUUUGAUAUUUUUAACCACACACACACACAAUCUCAGACUGUAUGGCGCCCGUUCUUCGUGCUGGCCCAUCGUUUCCUGUCCAGCUGAUAGUUGGUGUGUUCCAGGUGCUGCCGAAGCACUGGCAUCGUUGUAAUCCUCCGUGUUAAUCAACGUCUGGUGUCCCUCUCUCACUGCAUCAUGUACAGUUGGACUCAUUAAUAAACUUCUGAUGAAUUUUA